rnacentral:rRNA from 1 species
UACGUAGGGUGCAAGCGUUGUCCGGAAUUAUUGGGCGUAAAGAGCUCGUAGGCGGUCUGUCGCGUCGGAUGUGAAAACCCGGGGCUUAACCCCGGGCCUGCAUUCGAUACGGGCAGACUCGAGUGUGGUAGGGGAGACUGGAACUCCUGGUGUGGCGGUGAAAUGCGCAGAUAUCAGGAAGAACACCGGUGGCGAAGGCGGGUCUCUGGGCCACUACUGACGCUGAGGAGCGAAAGCGUGGGGAGCAAACGGG